CGUUGAGUAUAUCAAAAUUAUUAACCGUAGUAAAUGUUGGCUAUUUUAAUUCAAAUGCCCAAAAGUUUGUAGGGUCGGCUUUAGUAUACUAUCCCAGGCUUUCGGUAGUAAAAUGGGUAUCUUUGGAAAGGGGAUGCUCUCCAGAUUAAGAAUAUAUAUAUAUAUAGCUGCAGCUGACUUAUAGUUUUCGAGAUAUUCGCACUUAAAGAUGAAAAAAGUACAACUUUUAUCUCGAAUUUUCACAAUAUAUACAGAAUAUUUUAUUAAUAUUAUGCACUUAUUUUACACAUACACUUCACCACAUUGUUUCUGCAUAUUUAUUUUAUAAAAAUUAUGACGAAAAUAGCUGUAAAUAAAUAUUUAACAUUUUAAACAUAUUUAUUUUUACAAGAAAAAACUUUUCAUUGCCCCCUCUUUGAUAACUCCCGGUGUUGGAUCGACCAGGGUUAUUUUUUUGAAGCGCGGCCGAAGGCCGCCAAUGUGGAAAGUAGUUCUUUGCGAAAGAACUUUUCAUUUUACCCUCUUUGAUAACUCCCGGUGUUGGCUCGACCAGGGUUAUUUUUUUGCAGCGCGGCCGAAGGCCGCCAAUGCGGAAAGUAUUUCUCUUUGAAAGAACUUUUAAUUUCCCUUACUUAUAGUACAUAGAGUUAAUAAACUUUCUUUAUAUUAUCUUUAUACAAUCUUUUUAUAGGGCAUUUGUUUUCUGCAUUUGGGGUAUUUAUUUAUUUGGAUUCUUCUAAUUCGUUUGAAAAAUAUUUGAUAUGGCAACACUUAUUACUUGUCAAGCCGCAACACUUUUUGUUAUUGUUGAAAUUAAGAUAUUUGUGUAAAAUGUUAAAUAUUUAUUUACAGCUAUUUUCGUCAUAAGUUUUAUAAAAAAAAAUAUGCAGAAACAAUGUGGUGAGGUGGUACUUCACAAAUGGAAGAAGCAAAGGAGUGGGACGAUCUCUAAUUAGCCGUCGGAUUAGUGUCACAUUUAAUUCUUCCUCCUGACUCAUGAAAAAUAAUUCUUAACUACUCAACAAAGUGACUUGGUCUGGGUUCCCGGCCAUAGGAACAUCUUCGGUAACGAAAAGACAGACGAGUUGGGAAAAACAAGAGCCGUUCUAGACGAAUCCGAAGCUAUGCCAAUACCAUCCCCGCUAGGAACGAUCAAAAGAGAGCUCAACAUACAAUUUGAACAAUUAACAGAGAACAGAUGGAAGAAUACAACAAAAUAUAAAAUAAGUAAACAGAUAUGGCCAAAAUAUGAUAAGACUAGAACUGGGGUAUUAUUAAAUAGGUCCAGGAAAAGUAUUUUAAGACUUACAGCUACUCUAACGGGUCGUUGGACAUUUGGAGAACAUGCAAUGAAAGUGGGCAUAACCUAUAAUAACAUUUGUCGAGGCUGUGAACUAGAGGGGAAUAAGGAAACUAUAUUCCACUUUCUCUGUGAAUGUCCAGCCCUAUCGCAGAUCCGACACAGGACACUUGGAAGCCAUCAGGCAUCAAACCUUGAAUGGAUGUCCACUAAAAGCAUGCAUGCAUUUUCAAAAUAAUUGUCAAAAAUGUAAACUAUCCAUAAAGAUCUUGCUAUCCCUAUGGUAAAGAAAGAAGUAGAGAACAGCAGAUUGAAAUAUAUAUCUAAACUCCGUGAUCACCCAAACCCAUUGGCUAAUGCUUUAGUACAUUUCUGCGAUCAAACACGCCUAAAAUGAAGGGAUACUAAAGAGCAACGUUUCACCAAUACAGCUCAAUCAUUUGGUUGAGCUUGUCUAGUUUUUAAAUAGAUUUAAGAUUUUAUAACUUGUUAGGCUUAAAAACAAGCAGAUUCAAUAAAUAAAUAAAUAUUGAGAAAAUAUGUAAAAGUAAAAAUGUAAAUAAAAAAUGUAAUGUAAAAGCU